UAGCUAGUUGGUGAGGUAAAGGCUUACCAAGGCGACGAUCUGUAGCGGGUCUGAGAGGAUGAUCCGCCACACUGGAACUGAGACGCGGUCCAGACUCCUACGGGAGGCAGCAGUGGGGAAUUUUGGACAAUGGGGGCAACCCUGAUCCAGCCAUGCCGCGUGAGUGAAGAAGGCCUUCGGGUUGUAAAGCUCUUUCGGCCGGGAAGAAAUCGCAUGGGCCAAUACCCUGUGUGGAUGACGGUACCGGAAUAAGAAGCACCGGCUAACUACGUGCCAGCAGCCGCGGUAAUACGUAGGGUGCGAGCGUUAAUCGGAAUUACUGGGCGUAAAGCGUGCGCAGGCGGUUUUGUAAGACAGGCGUGAAAUCCCCGGGCUUAACCUGGGAACUGCGUUUGUGACUGCAAGGCUAGAGUACGGCAGAGGGGGGUGGAAUUCCACGUGUAGCAGUGAAAUGCGUAGAGAUGUGGAGGAACACCAAUGGCGAAGGCAGCCCCCUGGGUCGAUACUGACGCUCAUGCACGAAAGCGUGGGUAGCAAACAGGAUUAGAUACCCUGGUAGUCCACGCCCUAAACUAUGUCAACUAGGUGUUGGGUGGGUAAAACCAUUUAGUACCGUAGCUAACGCGUGAAGUUGACCGCCUGGGGAGUACGGCCGCAAGGUUAAAACUCAAAGGAAUUGACGGGGACCCGCACAAGCGGUGGAUGAUGUGGAUUAAUUCGAUGCAACGCGAAAAACCUUACCUACCCUUGACAUGCCAGGAACUUGCCAGAGAUGGCUUGGUGCCCGAAAGGGAGCCUGGACACAGGUGCUGCAUGGCUGUCGUCAGCUCGUGUCGUGAGAUGUUGGGUUAAGUCCCGCAACGAGCGCAACCCUUGUCGUUAAUUGCCAUCAUUUAGUUGGGCACUUUAACGAGACUGCCGGUGACAAACCGGAGGAAGGUGGGGAUGACGUCAAGUCCUCAUGGCCCUUAUGGGUAGGGCUUCACACGUCAUACAAUGGUCGGUACAAAGGGUUGCCAAGCCGCGAGGCGGAGCCAAUCCCAGAAAGCCGAUCGUAGUCCGGAUUGCAAGCUGCAACUCGCCUGCAUGAAGUCGGAAUCGCUAGUAAUCGUGGAUCAGCAUGUCACGGUGAAUACGUUCCCGGGUCUUGUACACACCGCCCGUCACACCAUGGGAGCGGGUUCCGCCAGAAGUAGGUAGCCUAACCGCAAGGGGGGCGCUUACCACGGCGGGGUUCGUGACUGGGGUGAAGUCGUAACAAGGUAGCCGUAGGGGAACCUGCGGCUG
rnacentral:rRNA from 1 species